rnacentral:rRNA from 1 species
CUCCGUGCCAGCAGCCGCGGUAAUACGGAGGGUGCGAGCGUUAUCCGGAUUUAUUGGGUUUAAAGGGUCCGUAGGCGGAUUAAUAAGUCAGUGGUGAAAUCCCAUCGCUUAACGAUGGAACUGCCAUUGAUACUGUUAGUCUUGAAUGAGGGUGCAGUGGUUGGAAUGUGUAGUGUAGCGGUGAAAAUGCAUAGAUAUUACACAGAACACCGAUUGCGAAGGCAGAUCACUAACCCUAAAUUGACGCUGAGGGACGAAAGCGUGGGGAGCGAACAGGAUUAGAUACCCUGGUAG